rnacentral:tRNA from 1 species
GGUAACUCAGUGGUAGAGUGCUUGCCUCCCAUGCAUGAGGCCCUGGGUUCGAUUCCUCAGUACCA